GGAGGGGCCAGCCGCGCUCGGCCUGGACCCAGCUCCUCCGGGGACGGUCCCCACGCGGCUCUGAGCUCGCGGCGGCUGCACCGGCCCCGCGAGGGGAGUGCGGGGCGCACGGCUUGAUAGAAGAAAAAUAGCCAGAAGUCUUUGGAGAACACGUCGGGUAAAGGAAAUAGAUGACCACCCAUUCAUUCCAUCGGGAAGCGAGAAGGCGACUGAACACUGGGCCCACAUGCCUGGGUUCAUAUCCCAGCUCAGUCAGAUCAAGAAUGAGGGAUGAGGAGUUCC